rnacentral:rRNA from 1 species
CCUACGGGUGGCAGCAGUGAGGAAUAUUGGGCAAUGGGGGCAACCCUGACCCAGCCAUGCCGCGUGAGUGAAGAAGGUCUUCUGAUUGUAAAGCUCUUUCGGACGUGACGAUGAUUACGGUAGCGUCUAACGAAUCCCCGGCAAACUUCGUUCCAGCAGCCGCGGUAAUACGAAGGGUGCGAGCGUUGUUCGGAAUUACUGGGCGUAAAGGGAGUGUAGGCGGAUAUGUAAGAUAGCGGUGAAAUGCCGGGGCUCAACCCCGGAACUGCCAUUAUGACUAUGUAUCUAGAGUAAUGGAGAGGAUAGCGGAAUACCCAGUGUAGAGGUGAAAUUCGUAGAUAUCACGAAGAACUCCGAUUGCGAAGGCAGCUUACUAAACUGCCACUGACAUUGAUGCUCGAAAGUGUGGGUAUCAAACAGGAUUAGAUACCCGGGUAGUC